rnacentral:tRNA from 1 species
GCCCUUGUAGCUCAGUGGAUGCAGAGCGGACGGUUUCUACCCGUCUGGUCGCGGGUUCGAAUCCUGCCGGGGGCGCGA